UUCAUCCUUAAAGGUCAUGUCUGAUGGAUAUAAUCAAUGUCAUAUUUAUAUUGUAGGAAACGAGUAACAAGUACAGAGCGAUGAGAAGAAAUCAGAUUCCUCACACCACCAGCCGCAAAGGAAUGCUUCGUUUAGCUGAUGAUAUGAAAAAAAAAGAGUAAAGACCCAAGUAAGGUGAGUAGAUCCAAGGUUUGGAUUGCGGGACACACUCAUGCUGAUGGCAGACCUGUGAAGCCCCAGUUUGCUGAGACUAUUGAACAAAUACAGUCACUUGACAGUCGGAUGGACUCCACAUCAGCUGCUGAUAACAUAAGGGAAG